GACGAACGCUGGCGGCGUGCUUAACACAUGCAAGUCGAACGAUGAAGAAAAGAAUUGAAGCUUCGGCAGAAAUUCAUUUCGGAUUAGUGGCAGACGGGUGAGUAACGCGUGAGCAACCUACCUCUUACAAAGGGAUAGCCUCGGGAAACCGGGAUUAAUACCAUAUAACAUUGCGACGAAGCAUUUCGAUGCAAUCAAAGCUACGGCGGUAAGAGGUGGGCUCGCGUCCCAUUAACCAGAUGGUGAGGUAACGGCUCACCAUAGUAACGAUGGGUAACCGGCCUGAGAGGGUGAACGGUCACACUGGAACUGAGACACGGUCCAGACUCCUACGGGAGGCAGCAGUGGGGAAUAUUGCACAAUGGAGGGAACUCUGAUGCAGCGACGCCGCGUGAGUGAUGAAGGAAUUCGUUUCGUAAAACUCUGUUCUAUGGGAAGAAAAGGACUGUACCAUAGGAGAAAGCUCCGGCUAAAUACGUG
rnacentral:rRNA from 1 species